UACGUAGGGUGCGAGCGUUGUCCGGAAUUACUGGGCGUAAAGAGCUCGUAGGUGGUUUGUCGCGUUUGUCCGUGAAAUUCCUGGCUUAACUGGGGCGAUGCGGCGAUACGGGCAGACUGGAGUACUGCGAGGGGAGACUGGAAUUCUGGUGAUAGUCGGUGGAAUACGCAGAUAUCAGGAGGAACGACCGGUGGCGAAGGCGGGUCACUGGGCCGAAACUGACGCUGGAGGAGCGAAAUGCCGUGGGGAGCGAACAGGA
rnacentral:rRNA from 1 species